rnacentral:ncRNA from 1 species
CUAACGUCAAACCGUCGCUGCCCAUUCAGCGACCGGGCCUGAGAACCUGGGUA